GAUGAACGCUGGCGGCGUGCUUAAUACAUGCAAGUCGAGCGAACAGAUGCUGAGCUUGCUCCUUUCACGUUAGCGGCGGACGGGUGAGUAACACGUGGAUAACCUACCUAUAAUACUGGGAUAACUUCGGGAAACCGGAGCUAAUACCGGAUAAUCUCCUGAACCGUAUGGUUCAAUAGUGAAAUACGGUUUUUCUGUCACUUCUAGCUGGAUCCGGGCCGCAUUAGCUAGUAGGUACGGUAACGGCUUACCAAGGCGACUAUGCGUAGACGAGGGGAGAGGGUGGUAGCCCACAUGGGAGGGGGGACGCGGACAAGGGUCCUGCGAGAGGCAGCAGAAGGGAAUGGGCCGCAAUAGGCGAGAGCUUGACGGAGCGACGGCGAGUGAGAUAUGAAAGUCUUGGGAGCGUAAAGAUCUGUUAUGAGGGAAGAACAAAUGUGGAAGUAACUAUGCAGGGCUUGACGGUACCUAGUAAGGAAGCCACGGCUAACUACGUG
rnacentral:rRNA from 1 species